rnacentral:lncRNA from 1 species
GGAAGGUUCAAUUUGGUUGUUUACUGCAAAAAAGUUUGAGGGGUCUCUUCCAUUCACAGUUCAAGCAAACUAUGAAGGAUUUUCUGAAGGUAGCUGAAUGAUUCCUUUUGGCUCAUAUAUACAUAUACAUUUGGUAUGUAAAUGCAAAUAUUAAGUUUAUAAAUGUCGAACGAUUGGCAGGAAUUGUAGUUGGUGAUGAACUAGUUAUUGAUGGUGGAAUGGCAUGCUUUGAAGUGAUUGAAAAGAUUGGAAAUGAUUUGCGCUGUAAGUGCACAGAUUCUGGUCUGUUUCUGCCUCGAGCCAA